rnacentral:tRNA from 1 species
GCCCAUUUAGAGCAGUGGUUAGCUCGCUCGCCUCCGGUGUGCUCCCUCGGCAGCGAGAUGGCAGGGGUUCGAAUCCCCUAAUGGGUG